UCUGAUUUAGAAUACACAGACCAAGAAUAAAAAAGUGAAGGUGAAAAGUAAAUCCUAGAUUCCAAUACCCUCAAGUAGCUUUAUAAAGAAUAUUCACUUACGCCGGGCACAGUGGAACACAGGACACCAGUUAAAAGGGAGGCCAUGUGCUAAGGGGUGCUUAGUGGACCUUCAAAUGCCAUUACCAGUCACUUCCCAGCAUUCAAAUUGAGGAAUUUGAAACUGCUGAUUUUGU